GCGACGACGGGUAGCCGGCCUGAGAGGGCGACCGGCCACACUGGGACUGAGACACGGCCCAGACUCCUACGGGAGGCAGCAGUGGGGAAUAUUGCACAAUGGGCGGAAGCCUGAUGCAGCGACGCCGCGUGAGGGAUGACGGCCUUCGGGUUGUAAACCUCUUUCAGCAGGGAAGAAGCGAAAGUGACGGUACCUGCAGAAGAAGCGCCGGCUAACUACGUGCCAGCAGCCGCGGUAAUACGUAGGGCGCAAGCGUUGUCCGGAAUUAUUGGGCGUAAAGAGCUCGUAGGCGGCUUGUCGCGUCGGUUGUGAAAGCCCGGGGCUUAACCCCGGGUCUGCAGUCGAUACGGGCAGGCUAGAGUUCGGUAGGGGAGAUCGGAAUUCCUGGUGUAGCGGUGAAAUGCGCAGAUAUCAGGAGGAACACCGGUGGCGAAGGCGGAUCUCUGGGCCGAUACUGACGCUGAGGAGCGAAAGCGUGGGGAGCGAACAGGAUUAGAUACCCUGGUAGUCCACGCCGUAAACGGUGGGCACUAGGUGUGGGCAACAUUCCACGUUGUCCGUGCCGCAGCUAACGCAUUAAGUGCCCCGCCUG
rnacentral:rRNA from 1 species